rnacentral:rRNA from 1 species
UACGUAGGGUGCAAGCGUUGUCCGGAAUUAUUGGGCGUAAAGAGCUCGUAGGCGGUCUGUCGCGUCUGCUGUGAAAACUCGGGGCUUAACCCCGGGCCUGCAGUGGGUACGGGCAGACUAGAGUGCGGUAGGGGAGACUGGAAUUCCUGGUGUAGCGGUGAAAUGCGCAGAUAUCAGGAGGAACACCGAUGGCGAAGGCAGCGUCCUGGGAAGUGACUGACGCUCAUGUGCGAAAGCUAGGGGAGCGAACGGG